rnacentral:lncRNA from 1 species
CAUGUUCGAGUCUCUCCAAGUUUAGAAUUUGGAUCCACUAGAGUCGCCGCGUUUGAUUGUAGUUCACCUAUCAACACUUUUAGUAAUUAAUCAUUAUAUUGUUUAAAUCCACAAAAAAGCAUCUGACAUAAAUGAAAGAUGUGAGCUUAACUUGGGCUUCCUUUUUCAUAGCUUUAAUUUCCACUUGAAUAGAAGAACUUUUUGUGGAACUUGAUGGACCA